AUUGAACGCUGGCGGCAUGCCUUACACAUGCAAGUCGAACGGCAGCAUGAUCUAGCUUGCUAGAUUGAUGGCGAGUGGCGAACGGGUGAGUAAUACAUCGGAACGUGCCCUGUAGUGGGGGAUAACUAGUCGAAAGAUUAGCUAAUACCGCAUACGACCUGAGGGUGAAAGUGGGGGACCGCAAGGCCUCAUGCUAUAGGAGCGGCCGAUGUCUGAUUAGCUAGUUGGUGAGGUAAAGGCUCACAAAGGCGACGAUCAGUAGCUGGUCUGAGAGGACGAGAAGCCACACUGGGACUGAGAAACGGCCCAGACUCCUACGGGAGGCAGCAGUGGGGAUUUUUGGACAGUGGGGGCAACCCUGAUCCAGCAAUGCCGCGUGUGUGAAGAAGGCCUUCGGGUUGUAAAGCACUUUUGUCCGGAAAGAAAUCGCACUUACUAAUAUUAGGUGUGGAUGACGGUACCGGAAGAAUAAGGACCGGCUAACUACGUGCCAGCCGCCGCGGUAAAAC
rnacentral:rRNA from 1 species